AUUGAACGCUGGCGGCAUGCCUUACACAUGCAAGUCGAACGGCAGCACGGACUUCGGUCUGGUGGCGAGUGGCGAACGGGUGAGUAAUGUAUCGGAACGUACCUUUCAGUGGGGGAUAACGUAGCGAAAGUUACGCUAAUACCGCAUAUUCUGUGAGCAGGAAAGCAGGGGAUCGCAAGACCUUGCGCUGAUUGAGCGGCCGAUAUCAGAUUAGCUAGUUGGUGAGGUAAAGGCUCACCAAGGCGACGAUCUGUAGCGGGUCUGAGAGGAUGAUCCGCCACACUGGAACUGAGACACGGUCCAGACUCCUACGGGAGGCAGCAGUGGGGAAUUUUGGACAAUGGGGGCAACCCUGAUCCAGCCAUGCCGCGUGAGUGAAGAAGGCCUUCGGGUUGUAAAGCUCUUUCGGCCGGGAAGAAAUCGCAUGGGUUAAUACCCUGUGUGGAUGACGGUACCGGAAUAAGAGGCACCGGCUAACUACGUGCCAGCAGCCGCCGUAACAC
rnacentral:rRNA from 1 species